rnacentral:rRNA from 1 species
GUAGGGAAUAUUGCGCAAUGGACGCAAGUCUGACGCAGCAACGCCGCGUGGGUGAUGAAGCUCCUUGGAGUGUAAAACCCUGUCAGUGGGGAAGAAACGUACGGGUAGUAACUGCCCCGUGCCUGACGGUACCCACAGAGGAAGUCCCGGCUAACUCCGUGCCAGCAGCCGCGGUAAUACGGGGGGGACUAGCGUUGUUCGGAUUUACUGGGCGUAAAGGGCGCGUAGGCGGACCUUCAAGUCGGAUGUGAAAUCUGUCGGCUUAACUGACAGUCUGCACCCGAUACUGUUGGCCUUGAGUACGGGAGAGGAGAGCGGAAUUCCUGGUGUAGCGGUGAAAUGCGUAGAUAUCAGGAAGAACACCGGUUGCGAAGGCGGCUCUCUGGACCGAUACUGACGCUUAAGCGCGAAGGCUUGGGGAGCAAACAGGAUUAGAAACCCUUGUAGUCC